rnacentral:rRNA from 1 species
UUCGGUGGUCAUGGCGAAGAGGUUCCACCCGUUCCCAUUCCGAACACGGAAGUUAAGCUCUUCAGCGCCGAUGGUACUGCAUGGGAGACUAUGUGGGAGAGUAGGUCGCCGCCGAAU